UUAAAGCAAAUAAAAAAUAAAUAAAAAGCCUACAUGAUCAAUUCCUGCUUUUGCUACUCUUAUGGAAAUAAGUAGACCAAGUUACUAAAACUAAUUUUUACCAACAAAUUUGUCUUAAUUUGGCUACCUCUGAAAAGGAGGGUAACUUCACAAAGGAAGAACUAUGGUUUUCCUCCAAUUUCUGGCUACAGCUCUUCACACUAACAUUUUCAAAUUUCUCCUGUUCUUUGGACUUGGAAUAAUUGAGAACUCAAAGUUCCUUUUUCUUUGAAGCCCUGCAAACUGAAUAUGAAUGACUUGAUGUAAACUUCAGAGAAGAUGCUGCAGCAGCUUGUAUACAGACGAUCUUUGUGCCAUUCUGUGUGGUGCUCAAAAAACUAACACAGACAUUCGAACUACAAAUGAAAGAAAAUGGCUCAUCUUGCUGGUACCUGCUUUGCUUACAUAAAGACGCUUCAAUCCUGGCAUCUACACAGGUGUUUUUAGACAGGGCUGGCUUCCACAGGCUUUGAGGGCCCCCACUGCCCAAGGCCAACAAGUCAGGUGCAUGUGGACGUGUGCAGGCCUGGCAGGCAGAGCUGGAAGAAUUUGGACUGCCUUCCCAGGCUUCGAUUGGGCAGGCUGGCUUUUGUACCCUCCAGUAAGAGACAUCUGGGAGCUUUGCUGGCUUCAGAAGCCUGGGACCCCAGCAAAUGAGGGCAGUACGUGUGGCGAUAUACCUGGACUUGAUUAUGGCUAUGUUGUUGAGUCUUCUGCCCCUCCCUAUCACCAUGGAGCUUCAGUGGAGUUCAAGUGCAGAGAAACAUUUAUAUUGAUUGGACACAGAUCAAUUUACAUGUGUUAGUGGAAUGUGGACCCAACUUCUUCAGUGUGUUGCAACAAAUGAACUUAAGAAGUGUAAAUCAUCACAGUUGUUUUCAUAUGAGGUGAUUGAAUUUGAUCAUAAUACCAAUAUGCAUUACAAAUGUAGAGGAAGAUCAGACUACAAGCACUUGAUCUGCGUAAAUGGAAGGUGGGAGCCUGAAAUAA